GUAAAGAACGGUUACUUACCUUAAAGUUACUGUGAUUCUUUUCAGAUCUUUUGUCUACAUGAUUCCACACUUGGUCUGCAUACAUUCCAUCCAUGAAAUUGGAUUCUUUUGGCCAGCAGCAUCCAAUGGGGCUGCACCAGUGCCCUAGAUGUCCUUGCAUCUCCCUACCCGAGGACAUAUAGAAUGGAGUGGGCCUAACUGUUGCUUAGUUCUUUCACCAAUACAGAAAUCCAGAACAGUAGGACUCCAUAGUUACAGGGAAGGAAGGCAGGUCAUGGUACCCCAUUUGGAGAACACAUUUUGAAGAACCAGAAUUACCAUAAGUCAUUUUAGGAGGUGAUCCUGGAAUUUUGGACCUUUCAUGCACUCAAGACACUCAGGAAUUUGACUUAGAAAUAUGGUCAGCCUCAGGAGCACUUGAAACAAGCCUCUGCAUGGUGUACCAAGGUGAAAUGAUCAUGUAUGCUGUGGUUAGAUGCAUCUUCCACAAGAAAGCCAGUAUUCACGUCUAUCUACUGAUAAUGCACUGGUCAUAAUGACAUAGAAACUGAAUUUUGAUUUGGCAUGUCAAUGCUGAUAAAAACAACUUUGCACACCCUUAUGACCAGGAGACAAUGUGCUUUGCUUGGAAUAUCUUUCGAGUUGGAUUGCAAUGGGUUGGUGGUCACUUGCUUGGGCUUCUGAGAUAGGCAUCUAUUGCUGCUCAUACAGUAGUAACAGCAAAUAUAAGAUUACCCCAGCAGAGUGAGGGCAAUGUCACAGAGCAAUGCUCAUAAGGUUGAAUUAAUCCCCGGUGUAACUCCAUUAAUUUAAAUGAAGUUACAUCAGGGAUGAGUUUGGUCCAUUUCUGCAUUCUGAGUUCCUGGGUAGACCCUCAGCCUCUACCCUCCCAUUAGGAGGGAGGUGACCACAAGACCAUUGCAUCAGACCCACCACUCUCUUCCAGUACCUCCAGGGAUGAAAACGGAAGAUCUUCAGCUUCCCUUCUUUUGAUCUAUAGCAGGGGUGGCCAAACUGUGGUUCGCAAGCCACAUGUGAGCCACACUUUAAUGGUAAAAGAGCGCAAGCCACCUCUGCCCCCCCCAUU